GUGAUGUUCAUUAAUGCAAAGUGCAGUGUGGCCUUUCCAUAAAGUUUUCGUCUUAGUAACUUUUGUUUCCUCUAUGCUUGAUUUUAGACAUGGACAUUCUUCUCUUAAGCGACAAUUAGUCAUCAAAUGAGAUUGAGAAACAACAAACAAAUGUUGGUGUAUUUACCAUGAUCGUGGACUCUACAAUUACAGAAACUGGUUGUUGUUCACAGCGGUUGAAGAGAAUUGUGGCUGUUGUCGACCAGUUCCUUCUUCCCUUGAACUACGUUACGAGUAAAUAAAAUGUUCAAUAUAAAAACCUUCUGAUCAAGAAUGGACAAUAUGCAUACUUUAAUGAAAUCCUCUGAACAAUGAUCAAGAAUGAACAGCGUACUUUAACGAGUCCUCUGAAGAAUGAUCAAGAUGAACAAUAUACUUUAAUGAGAAUCUUCUGAAUAAUGAUCAAGAAUGAACAAUAUACUUUGAUGAAAUUGAAAAAUACGUGACUUCUAAUGCCCUAAAGACCAUCUCUACAAAGAAUGCAAACGCUAAACACUCUUCUGGAGCAAUGCAUCCAUCAGCCUAACGCCUGUUUCCAUGGAAAAGUCAAUAUUAUGACCUUUUCUAAAACAUUUUCCUGGGAGUUUUCCUGCUAACAUCACGACUGGCAAUCAAUCGCAAUGAUGGAGAAAACCACGCCGCUAUCAAAUGCCCAAAUUUCAACAUUAUUUAAUUGAAAA